UUUUACUGUGUUAAAUCAAGUUCAGCCUAAAGCUGCCUCCUUACGUAUUUUAAGUUCAGCCUAAAGGUUUCUCUGUACAUCGUGAACUAUAACAAGUGGAGGUGUAAACCGAUGGUAGCCCACACUUGUGCCAAUUGCUGAGUUUUGGCCAAUCAAAUGUAGCCAACUGUUUGAACCAUGUUCAAAUAAAGCAAACCCUGAGCUGUAACAAAUCCGCUGCCUCUGUCCCUCACUUCCUCUUUCUGUUCAUAAACAUUCUUCCACGACGUGCUGUGCUGGAAUCCCUGAGCCUGCUCUGGCCUGGGAGGCUGCCUGAUUUUACACAAAGAACUCUUGAAUCCCCUUUUAUCAUUUUCUGAACCAUUUGAGAGCAAGCUGCAAUCAUAAGAUCCAGCACCUCUAAACACUCCAGAAUAUAUUUUUAGAUAUAACCCUGUAAUGGCUGAAAAGUGUUCCCCCCAAAUUCACAUCCUCCUGAAACCUCAGAAUGUGACCUUAUUUUGAAAUAGGGUCAUUACAGAUGUAAUGAAGGAUCUCCAAUUGAAUCCGUCCAAGGAUUAAGGUGGGCCCUGAAUCCCAUAGACUGGUGUCCUCAUAAGAAAAGGUGAGGACAAAGAGAGACACAGAGACACACAGAUAGCUAUGUGAAGAUGGAAGCAGAGGUUGGGGAUCUGCUGCCACAAACAAAGGCACCCCAAGUAUUGCCAGCAACCACCAGAAGCAAGGAGAAAGGCAUGGGACGCUUUCUCCAUCAGAGUCUCCGGAAGGAACCAAGCUUACUGACACCUUGAUUUUGGACUUCUAGCCCCCAGAACUUCAAGAUAAUACAUUUCUGUUGUUUAAAGCCAUGUGGUUUGUGGUAAUUUGUUAUGACAGUGCUAGAAAACUUAUACAAACCCUCCAAGGCAGAAAUAAACAUGGGCACAACACUGCUACCCAAUCCACAGAUCCCAUUCAAAUUUUGCUGGCUCAGCCCAUCAUGUCUCUUUUCCCUUUCAGGUCCAGGAUCCAGUCCAGGAGCAUGCAUUACAUUUAGUUGUCACAUGUCCGAAUAGAAGGAAGGAGAUUCCCUUCAAUAUGGAAUAAUUUCUUAGUCUUUCCCUGUCUUCCACAUCCUUCCGUUUUUUGUUUUUGUUUUUAUUUUGAGACAGUCUCACUCUGUCACCCAGGCUGGAGUACAGUGGGGUGAUCAUGGCUCACUAUAGCCUUGACUUCUCCAGGCUCAGAGUUUCAAGUUGCUCAGGCUGGUCUCAAACUCCUGGGCUCAAGUGAUCCACCCACCUUGGCCUCCCAAAGUGCUGGGAUUACAGGCACGACCCACUGCAACUGGCCCCACAUCCUUCAGUUUUUAAGAGUGCAGGCCUUUUGUUAUGUAGGAUGGCCCUAGACCUGGUUCCAUCUAAUAUUUCAUUUUGGUCAGACCUCGCCAUGAUUUCUUGACAGGAAAAUGAUGGACAGGAUCCUGGGCUCUGCACAUUACAGCAUAUGAUGUGGUCUUGUCUCAUCACUGGUGAUGUUAAUCUUGAUUGCUUGGUCAUGUUGGUGUCUUCCAUAUUUCUCCUCCAUUGAGUCACCAUUUUCACCUUUGCAAUUGAUAAGCAUUUUGUGGGGAGAUUUUCUAAAAUUAUGCUAAAAUCCUGAUCCUUAACAACUUCUACCCAUCAGCCUUAAUAUUUGUGGAUGAUCCCUAUCUGAAUAAAUUAUAACCAUAAUAGUGUCAUAUGGUGGUUUGCUAUUUUCAUCAUUCCUUCUACAUUAAUUACUUGGUAUUCUACUGUAAGAAAGAAGUUCCACUGCUUCCUCUAUUUAUUUACUUAUUUAUUCAUUUAUUUAGUAGUAUGAAUUUCAAUUUAACAGGUUAAAAACCAUGCUUGUUCUUUGUGAAAGUAUAUAACGUUAUUAUCUUUAUCAGAGAAGAAAUGGUUCUGAACUUCUCAAGAAAGUAUACAAGCAGUAUAAAAAUGAGAUAAUUACACUUACUUAACAUACCUUAUUUUCAUCCAAAUAAACACGAAAAGAAUCCAACAUGAUAUUUGAAAUUCUACCAUAGGGUAUUUUACUAGAAAAAUAGAAUCUUGUGUUUUUGGUAAUGUUUGUUCAUAUCACAAAAUUACUGAGAAGCGAAACAUUUCUAAAUUCACAUUAGAACAUUGUAAUUCACAUUUGUGUUAGAAUGAUGGUUACCAGAGUCUGGGAAGGGUAGUGGAGUAGUAGAAUGGGGGAUGGUUAUUGGAUAUGAAAAUAUAGUUAGUUAGAAUGAAUAAGAUCUAGUAUUUGAUAGCACAACAGGGUAACUACAGUCAACAAUAAUUUAUUGUACAUUUAAAAAUAACUAUAAGACUAUAAUUAGAUUGUAACACAAAGAAAGGAUAAAUGUUUGAAGUGAUAGAUACCCCAUUUAUCCUGAUGUGAUUAUUACACAUUGUAUGCUUGUAUCAAAAUAUCUCAUGUACGCCAUACAUAUAUAUGCCUACUGUGUACUCACAAAAAUUAAAAAUUGUAAAAAUAAAUAAACAAAACAAAACAAAAU
rnacentral:lncRNA from 1 species